rnacentral:rRNA from 1 species
CCAGCAGCCGCGGUAAUUCCUAGCUCCAAUAGCGUAUACUAAAGUUGUUGCGGUUAAAAAGCUCGUAGUUGGAUCUUGGAAUGUGUUCAAGCGGGUCAGCUUCUGGCUGUGCGCUGCUUGACGUGUUCUUCUAUUUGGUUUUGGUGCGGUGCGCUUAACUGCGUGUCGCUCCCCGGCCGAAACGUUUACCUUGAAAAAAUUAGAGUGUUCAAAGCAGACCUGUUUGAGUCUGAAUAUUCGUGCAUGGAAUAAUGAAAUAUGAAUUCGGUUCUAUUUUGUUGGUUUUCGGAACUCGAGUUAAUGAUCAAGAGGGACAGACGGGGGCAUUCGUACUCUGCCGUUAGAGGUGAAAUUCUUGGAUCGGCGGAAGACGCGCAACUGCGAAAGCAUUUGCCAAGAAUGUUUUCUUUAAUCAAGAACGAUAGUCGGAGGUUCGAAGACGAUCAGAUACCGUCCUAGUUUCGACUGUAAACUAUGCCAGCUAACGAUCAGACAGAGUUCUCUACGACUUGUCUGGCAGUUUCCGGGAAACCAAAGCGUUUGGGUUCCGGGGGAAGUAUGGUUGCAAAGCUGAAACUUAAAGGAAUUGACGGAAGGGCACCACCAGGAGUGGAGCCUGCGGCUUAAUUUGACUCAACACGGGGAAACUCACCCGGCCCGGACACAGUGAGGAUUGACAGAUUGAGAGUUCUUUCUUGAUUCUGUGGGUGGUGGUGCAUGGCCGUUCUUAGUUGGUGGAGCGAUUUGUCUGGUUAAUUCCGAUAACGAACGAGACUCUGGCAUGUUAAAUAGUCGCGGAAGUGCGUAUGCACUUGCCGAAUUGACUUCUUAGAGGGACUAGUGAUUUUAAUUCACACGAGAUUGAGCAAUAACAGGUCUGUGAU